GUCUACGCCCAUGCCACCCUGAAUGAGCCCGAACUCGACUGAUCUCGGAAGCUAAGCAGGGUCAGGCCUGGUUAGAACUUGGAUGGAGACCACCUUGCAAUACCAGAUGCCGUAGGCA
rnacentral:rRNA from 1 species